UACGUAGGGGGCAAGCGUUGUCCGGAAUUAUUGGGCGUAAAGAGCGUGUAGGCGGCCAGAUAAGUCCGCUGUGAAAUCUCGAGGCUCAACUUCGAGCUGUCGGUGGAAACUAUCUGGCUAGAGUCCGGAAGAGGAGAAUGGAAUUCCUGGUGUAGCGGUGAAAUGCGCAGAUAUCAGGAAGAACACCGAUGGCGAAGGCAGCUCUCUGGGACGGUACUGACGCUGAGACGCGAAAGCGUGGGGAGCGAACAGG
rnacentral:rRNA from 1 species